AGGCAGCGCGAUACUGCGCAGCCCUGCCCAGGCUCAGCACCGGACGCUGCUGCCUCCGUGUGAUCUGGGAGCCCGAGCUGGGCCAUUGCUGCUUCCCCGGGUCCGGGGAGACCUGCAUUAAACCUACUGUGCCCAGCCUGCGGUGCGGGAGGGAGUUUCUCCAGCGGGAAGCAGCCCUGGGCUUUGCCGACCCCAGCCCCUGAGCCGGAGACUCCGGGCUGCAGAAUAACAUCCAUGUUUUUCUCCAAAUCGUCUUAUCCUCCCAUGGAACACGGGGAAAAAAUGGCUGCAGUUGAGCCAGUCCAGGAACCGGUGACCUUCAAGGAGGUGGCUGUGUAUUUCACCAAGGAGGAGUGGGCUCUG